rnacentral:rRNA from 1 species
UACGUAGGGGGCGAGCGUUGUCCGAAUUCACUGGGCGUAAAGCGCGCGUAGGCGGACUAUUAAGUUGAUGGUGAAAUCCCGGGGCUCAACCUCGGAACUGCCUUCAAAACUGUUAGUCUUGAGGUUUGGAGAGGGAAUUGGAAUUCCAGGUGUAGCGGUGAAAUGCGUAGAUAUCUGGAGGAACACCCAUGGCGAAGGCAGAUUCCUGGCCAUAUCCUGACGCUGAGGUGCGAAAGCUAGGGUAGCGAACGGGAUUAGAUACCCCGGUAGUCCUAGCCGUAAACGAUGGAUACUAGGUGUUAGAGGUAUCGACCCCUCUAGUGCCGAAGCUAACGCAUUAAGUAUCCCGCCUGGGGAGUACGACCGCAAGGUUG